ACUAUCAGAAUGCAAAGAACCAAAAGAACACCUAUUUUUAAUUUGCUCCCCACGUGAAGGCUCAAAUACAAAUGCUCCUUUUUUAUUUUCAAAGCAAUGCCCCCCCUUCUUCUUUAUUUUCGAAGCACUUUCUUUGGGAAAAAACUGUUUCUUCUUUCUGCUUCGUUCCAUAGCCCCGCGGAUAAUCUUGAACGGCAAAGACUAGUUUUCUUGGAGGAUAUUGAUGCCGUCAGUGUUGUGUAUUACCACGAAAAGCCGAGACCACGGUUGAACGAUGAGACCACGGGGGAAGAACACGACCACGCAAUUGUCUGCUAUUGGUCAGUGAGUUACUGCGGUGAGUCCAAGAAGGAGAAGGGCCCGAAAAACGCUGGUUUAGUCUCUGAUUUGCAGUAAUCUGAGAGCAACUUCGAAUCAGACUUAAAGGAAAAUACUCCGAUGACGAUUUCGAACUUUCGAUCAAAAUCGGUUCAAUAUUCUCCUUGGUCACCAACGUCCUCUUCCCUAAAUGCUUCUCAAGUUGAAACUUAGAAAGAACGUUGUUGGAUUCGUUACUUGAUGGAGAGGAAGUCUCAGAUUUUGUUCGAGACGUCCUCGGAUGAAAACUGGGCAAAUUGUCUUGAUUCAUGAAAACCAGGCUCUGAUACCACUGAUGGAAAUUGUUUAUUAUUGCACUCUAGGACCAUUUCUCUGAGAAAUUGGAUGUAUUUAACUUCGGACUGUUGUUGUUGGAGAUUGUAUGUGGAAAAAA